rnacentral:rRNA from 1 species
UAUAAAUGUAUUUUUAUAAACUUAAUAAUUAAUAGUUAUGGUCUUUAAAGUUAAAUAAUUUGGCGGUAUUUUAGUCUUUUCAGAGGAACCUGUUCUAUAAAUGAUAAUCCACGAUUAAAUUAUCUUAAGUUAGAAAUUUAUAUAUCAUCGUUAUUAAAUAUUUUUUUAGAAUAUAAUAUUUAUGAAAUAAUAUUUUAUUUUAAUUCAGAUCAUGGUAUAGUUUAUAUUUAAGUAGAAAUGGGUUACAUUGUUGAAAAAUUUGGAUUUUAAAUUUAAAUUUUAAAUGAAAUUGGAUUUGAAAGUAAUUAAUUUUAUUUUAAAUUAAUGAUUAAGCUCUAAAAUAUGU